UAUACAUGCAGUCGAGCGGACAGAAGGGAGCUUGCUCCCGGAUGUUAGCGGCGGACGGGUGAGUAACACGUGGGUAACCUGCCUGUAAGACUGGGAUAACUCCGGGAAACCGGAGCUAAUACCGGAUAGUUCCUUGAACCGCAUGGUUCAAGGAUGAAAGACGGUUUCGGCUGUCACUUACAGAUGGACCCGCGGCGCAUUAGCUAGUUGGUGGGGUAAUGGCUCACCAAGGCAACGAUGCGUAGCCGACCUGAGAGGGUGAUCGGCCACACUGGGACUGAGACACGGCCCAGACUCCUACGGGAGGCAGCAGUAGGGAAUCUUCCGCAAUGGACGAAAGUCUGACGGAGCAACGCCGCGUGAGUGAUGAAGGUUUUCGGAUCGUAAAGCUCUGUUGUUAGGGAAGAACAAGUGCGAGAGUAACUGCUCGCACCUUGACGGUACCUAACCAGAAAGCCACGGCUAACUAC
rnacentral:rRNA from 1 species